rnacentral:rRNA from 1 species
CCUACGGGAGGCAGCAGUGGGGGAUAUUGCACAAUGGGGGGAACCCUGAUGCAGCGACGCCGCGUGGGUGAAGAAGCGCCUCGGCGCGUAAAGCCCUGUCAGCAGGGAAGAAAAUGACGGUACCUGAAGAAGAAGCCCCGGCUAACUACGUGCCAGCAGCCGCGGUAAUACGGAGGGGGCAAGCGUUAUCCGGAUUUACUGGGGGUAAAGGGUGCGCAGACGGCGAUGCAAGCCAGGAGUGAAAGCCCGGGGCCCAACCCCUGGACUGCUCUUGGAACUGCGUGGCUGGAGGGCAGGAGGGGCAAGGGGAAUUCCUGGUGUAGCGGUGAAAUGCGUAGAUAUCAGGAGGAACACCAGUGGCGAAGGCGGCCUGCUGGACUGCAACUGACGUUGAGGCCCGAAAGCGUGGGGAGCAAACAGGAUUAGAUACCCUUGUAGUC